rnacentral:rRNA from 1 species
GUGGGGAAUUUUGGACAAUGGGCGCAAGCCUGAUCCAGCAAUGCCGCGUGCAGGAAGAAGGCCUUCGGGUUGUAAACUGCUUUUGUACGGAACGAAAAGGCUCUGGUUAAUACCUGGGGCUCAUGACGGUACCGUAAGAAUAAGCACCGGCUAACUACGUGCCAGCAGCCGCGGUAAUACGUAGGGUGCAAGCGUUGAUCGGAAUUACUGGGCGUAAAGCGUGCGCAGGCGGUUUUGUAAGACAGACGUGAAAUCCCCGGGCUCAACCUGGGAAUGGCGUUUGUGACUGCAAAGCUGGAGUGCGGCAGAGGGGGAUGGAAUUCCGCGUGUAGCAGUGAAAUGCGUAGAUAUGCGGAGGAACACCGAUGGCGAAGGCAAUCCCCUGGGCCUGCACUGACGCUCAUGCACGAAAGCGUGGGGAGCAAACAGGAUUAGAUACCCGGGUAGUCC